rnacentral:rRNA from 1 species
GGUUAAGCGACUAAGCGUACACGGUGGAUGCCCUGGCAGUCAGAGGCGAUGAAGGACGUGCUAAUCUGCGAUAAGCGUCGGUAAGGUGAUAUGAACCGUUAUAACCGGCGAUUUCCGAAUGGGGAAACCCAGUGUGUUUCGACACACUAUCAUUAACUGAAUCCAUAGGUUAAUGAGGCGAACCGGGGGAACUGAAACAUCUAAGUACCCCGAGGAAAAGAAAUCAACCGAGAUUCCCCCAGUAGCGGCGAGCGAACGGGGAGGAGCCCAGAGCCUGAAUCAGUGUGUGUGUUAGUGGAAGCGUCUGGAAAGGCGCGCGAUACAGGGUGACAGCCCCGUACACAAAAAUGCACAUACUGUGAGCUCGAUGAGUAGGGCGGGACACGUGGUAUCCUGUCUGAAUAUGGGGGGACCAUCCUCCAAGGCUAAAUACUCCUGACUGACCGAUAGUGAACCAGUACCGUGAGGGAAAGGCGAAAAGAACCCCGGCGAGGGGAGUGAAAAAGAACCUGAAACCGUGUACGUACAAGCAGUGGGAGCCUCUUUUAUGGGGUGACUGCGUACCUUUUGUAUAAUGGGUCAGCGACUUAUAUUCUGUAGCAAGGUUAACCGAAUAGGGGAGCCGAAGGGAAACCGAGUCUUAACUGGGCGUUAAGUUGCAGGGUAUAGACCCGAAACCCGGUGAUCUAGCCAUGGGCAGGUUGAAGGUUGGGUAACACUAACUGGAGGACCGAACCGACUAAUGUUGAAAAAUUAGCGGAUGACUUGUGGCUGGGGGUGAAAGGCCAAUCAAACCGGGAGAUAGCUGGUUCUCCCCGAAAGCUAUUUAGGUAGCGCCUCGUGAAUUCAUCUCCGGGGGUAGAGCACUGUUUCGGCAAGGGGGUCAUCCCGACUUACCAACCCGAUGCAAACUGCGAAUACCGGAGAAUGUUAUCACGGGAGACACACGGCGGGUGCUAACGUCCGUCGUGAAGAGGGAAACAACCCAGACCGCCAGCUAAGGUCCCAAAGUCAUGGUUAAGUGGGAAACGAUGUGGGAAGGCCCAGACAGCCAGGAUGUUGGCUUAGAAGCAGCCAUCAUUUAAAGAAAGCGUAAUAGCUCACUGGUCGAGUCGGCCUGCGCGGAAGAUGUAACGGGGCUAAACCAUGCACCGAAGCUGCGGCAGCGACACUAUGUGUUGUUGGGUAGGGGAGCGUUCUGUAAGCCUGUGAAGGUGUACUGUGAGGUAUGCUGGAGGUAUCAGAAGUGCGAAUGCUGACAUAAGUAACGAUAAAGCGGGUGAAAAGCCCGCUCGCCGGAAGACCAAGGGUUCCUGUCCAACGUUAAUCGGGGCAGGGUGAGUCGACCCCUAAGGCGAGGCCGAAAGGCGUAGUCGAUGGGAAACAGGUUAAUAUUCCUGUACUUGGUGUUACUGCGAAGGGGGGACGGAGAAGGCUAUGUUGGCCGGGCGACGGUUGUCCCGGUUUAAGCGUGUAGGCUGGUUUUCCAGGCAAAUCCGGAAAAUCAAGGCUGAGGCGUGAUGACGAGGCACUACGGUGCUGAAGCAACAAAUGCCCUGCUUCCAGGAAAAGCCUCUAAGCAUCAGGUAACAUCAAAUCGUACCCCAAACCGACACAGGUGGUCAGGUAGAGAAUACCAAGGCGCUUGAGAGAACUCGGGUGAAGGAACUAGGCAAAAUGGUGCCGUAACUUCGGGAGAAGGCACGCUGAUAUGUAGGUGAAGCGACUUGCUCGUGGAGCUGAAAUCAGUCGAAGAUACCAGCUGGCUGCAACUGUUUAUUAAAAACACAGCACUGUGCAAACACGAAAGUGGACGUAUACGGUGUGACGCCUGCCCGGUGCCGGAAGGUUAAUUGAUGGGGUCAGCGCAAGCGAAGCUCUUGAUCGAAGCCCCGGUAAACGGCGGCCGUAACUAUAACGGUCCUAAGGUAGCGAAAUUCCUUGUCGGGUAAGUUCCGACCUGCACGAAUGGCGUAAUGAUGGCCAGGCUGUCUCCACCCGAGACUCAGUGAAAUUGAACUCGCUGUGAAGAUGCAGUGUACCCGCGGCAAGACGGAAAGACCCCGUGAACCUUUACUAUAGCUUGACACUGAACAUUGAGCCUUGAUGUGUAGGAUAGGUGGGAGGCUUAGAAGUGUGGACGCCAGUCUGCAUGGAGCCGACCUUGAAAUACCACCCUUUAAUGUUUGAUGUUCUAACGUUGACCCGUGAUCCGGGUUGCGGACAGUGUCUGGUGGGUAGUUUGACUGGGGCGGUCUCCUCCUAAAGAGUAACGGAGGAGCACGAAGGUUGGCUAAUCCUGGUCGGACAUCAGGAGGUUAGUGCAAUGGCAUAAGCCAGCUUGACUGCGAGCGUGACGGCGCGAGCAGGUGCGAAAGCAGGUCAUAGUGAUCCGGUGGUUCUGAAUGGAAGGGCCAUCGCUCAACGGAUAAAAGGUACUCCGGGGAUAACAGGCUGAUACCGCCCAAGAGUUCAUAUCGACGGCGGUGUUUGGCACCUCGAUGUCGGCUCAUCACAUCCUGGGGCUGAAGUAGGUCCCAAGGGUAUGGCUGUUCGCCAUUUAAAGUGGUACGCGAGCUGGGUUUAGAACGUCGUGAGACAGUUCGGUCCCUAUCUGCCGUGGGCGCUGGAGAACUGAGGGGGGCUGCUCCUAGUACGAGAGGACCGGAGUGGACGCAUCACUGGUGUUCGGGUUGUCAUGCCAAUGGCACUGCCCGGUAGCUAAAUGCGGAAGAGAUAAGUGCUGAAAGCAUCUAAGCACGAAACUUGCCCCGAGAUGAGUUCUCCCUGACCCUUUAAGUGUCCUGAAGGAACGUUGAAGACGACGACGUUGAUAGGCCGGGUGUGUAAGCGCAGCGAUGCGUUGAGCUAACCGGUACUAAUGAACCGUGAGGCUUAACCUU